AUGGAUGGUACCACAGAGACUUCUGAGAGGGAAAGGAUUGUGAAGGACUUCCAAGACGGCCUCGGAGCUCAAAUAUUUUUACUGACCACAAAAGUCGGUGGUCUUGGACUUACACUCACCAAGGCAGCUCGUGUCAUAGUAGUUGAUCCUGCUUGGAAUCCAAGUACGGACAAUCAGAGUGUUGAUCGUGUUUAUCGAAUUGGACAGACCAAAGAUGUGAUUGUAUACCGCUUGAUGACAUCUGCAACAGUCGAAGAAAAGAUAUAUAAACUGCAGGUCCUCAAGGGCGCUUUGUUUAGGGCAGCCACGGAGAAGAAAGAACAGACGCGUUACUUCAGCAAGAGUGACAUUCGAGAGCUUUUUAGUCUGCCAGAACAAGGGUUUGAUGUUUCCCUUACGCAGAAACAAUUGCAAGAAGAGCAUGGACAGCAGCUGGACAUGGAUGAGUUGCUGAGGGAUUACAUCCAGUUUCUGGAGAAACAAGGAAUAGCAGGUGUGAGCCAUCACAGCCUCCUAUUCUCGAAAACAGAAGUCUUGCCGAUGUUGAGUGAGAAUGAUGCACUGGACAGGGGUGCCCAUGCUAAGCCUGCUAGAACACACUUGGCAAGCAACACAGAUUCAGAGAUCCCUGAAGAGAUCAACCGGCUGUUGGAAACCCUUGCGAGCACGGUACGUCUCCUUCAGUUUCGCAAACAGCAAUGUGCUUUUGCCUAUCUACAAUGA
rnacentral:rRNA from 1 species